rnacentral:rRNA from 1 species
UACGUAGGGUGCAAGCGUUAAUCGGAAUUACUGGGCGUAAAGCGUGCGCAGGCGGUUUUGUAAGUCUGAUGUGAAAUCCCCGGGCUCAACCUGGGAAUUGCGAUGGAGACUGCAAGGCUUGAAUCUGGCAGAGGGGGGUAGAAUUCCACGUGUAGCAGUGAAAUGCGUAGAGAUGUGGAGGAACACCGAUGGCGAAGGCAGCCCCCUGGGUCAAGAUUGACGCUCAUGCACGAAAGCGUGGGGAGCGAACAGG